rnacentral:misc_RNA from 1 species
GUGAAUCAUCAAAUUUUUGAACGCAAAUUGCACUCUCUUCGGAGAGUAUGCCUGUUUGAGGGUCAGCCUAAAAAAAAUCAACAUAUUCCCGUUUUCCCGGUGACUUUCUUCGGAAAUUGGUUCAUCUUAAACCUUUGGUUUUUAACCGGCUUAAAAUUUUCUUUACGAUUCCACAAAGUUUUCUAGAUUUAACUUCUUAUACUUUUAAGUUA